GUGUGUGUGUGUGUGUGUGUGUGUGUGUGUGUGUGUGUGUGUGUGUGUGUGUUUGUUUUUAUUACAUGGUGGGGACCUCAGCAUGAUAGCACACUCACAAAGUGGGGACCAAAAACAUAGUGGGGACCGAUCGCCCGGUCCCCACUAUGUUUUGCCUUUAAAAGACUCAGGGGGCGUUGCUGAUAUGCCUAGUGCAGUUUUUUUCACUGAUCCCCACCUUGACCAUUUACCUGAAUUGAGUGUGUAAGUGUGUGUCGGCGCACUGCUCUAUAGCGGUCCUGUAGUCGGAUGGCGGUACUGCACCCUGACACACACUUGACGCAGUUCACACACUCUGCCUACUGCACAUGCGCAAUCUCAUAAAUGAAUCCGACUUUAAUCAACUUAAUUAAGAUCUAUCAUCAAAUUUUUCGAAUUUUUGGGUAAGUUAGAAUGUUUUUCACCAUCAUACUGUAAUAAAAUAGGUUAUAUGACAAAUACUUAUGUUGCAUAUUUUGACAGUUAUCAGGUAUAGUUAAUUAAAUGUUUUAACGAAUUUCCUGGGUGUUUUAAUCGAUGUUGUUUCAAAUUACGUAUUAAUACAACACUGAUAAGACACAAACUACAGUUCGGUAUGUAAUUUAACUUGUUUACACGAGUAAAAGUUUCUCGCGCUAAUGUGCUAACGUGCUAACUGCCCGGUGCUACGUGAGUCAGAGGCCGGGGUGGAGUGCAUGAGCCGCGGUCAGACAGUCACCAAUCACCGGGCGGCUAAAUGGAUCGACGGAGGAUAAAACCAUUAAAAGAUGCGGAGAAACACAUCACCAGCUCCACUGACAAGACCCAUUCACUGGAAACCGAAUAUAUAGAAGGUUACUAAGUUUUGCAGCAUUGAUGCCGAUCAUGAGGACGAUCUGCACCCUAACUGCACUGUCAAUAAGAUCGUUGUUCAGAGAAAACCUCAUUUGUGCCUUUUUGCAAUCAGGGAUAUUUUCUUUGGAGAGGAAAUAACGUUUGACUAUGGCACAUGUGAUUGGCCUUGGAGAAAGCUUUCAUUGAAGGAUGCCCAUAUGACUGCAGAAGAGAACUGCUCCGACAACUCUCUGAUGAGCUUUCAUUGAAGUAUGAUCAUAUGACGAGAAGAAGAGAACUGCUCUGCUCCAGUAGGAGACCCACAACCCUCUGAUGAGGUUUGCUGAAGUAUGACCGUAUGACAGAAGGAGAGAACAGCUCUGCUCCAGUACGAGACCCACAACUCUGAUGAGAGAAAGUUACAGUGGAUCUUGAUUUUGGAGGAGGUGAAGUCCAAUCUAAAAGAGUCCACUCAAGUAUCAUCACCAUGGUACAGUGUCUGUGAAGAUAGUGAUGCAGACCCAGCAUUCACAAAAAAAGAGAGGUCCCAUAAAGAGAAGAUCCUGGAGCAAACAGGAAGUACAUGCUGUGGUGAAAGCUGAACCAUUGGCUCUAAAAACCAGAGAUUGGUCAGCUUUGGAUUUUUAUAUUAAAAACUGAAUCUCGACUCUUUAGA